GCGUCAGUCCAUGAGCUGAAAGCAUCGG
rnacentral:rRNA from 1 species